GAUGAACGCUGGCGGCGUGCCUAAUACAUGCAAGUCGAGCGAACGGACGAGAAGCUUGCUUCUCUGAUGUUAGCGGCGGACGGGUGAGUAACACGUGGAUAACCUACCUAUAAGACUGGGAUAGCUUCGGGAAACCGGAGCUAAUACCGGAUAAUAUUUUGAACCGCAUGGUUCAAAAGUGAAAGACGGUCUUGCUGUCACUUAUAGAUGGAUCCGCGCUGCAUUAGCUAGUUGGUAAGGUAACGGCUUACCAAGGCAACGAUGCAUAGCCGACCUGAGAGGGUGGUCGGCCACACUGGAACUGAGACACGGUCCAGGCUCCUACGGGAGGCAGCAGUAGGGAAUCUUCCGCAAUGGGCGAAAGCCUGACGGAGCAACGCCGCGUGAGUGAUGAAGGUCUUCGGAUCGUAAAACUCUGUUAUUAGGGAAGAACAUAUGUGUAAGUAACUGUGCACAUCUUGACGGUACCUAAUCAGAAAGCCACGGCUAACUACGUG
rnacentral:rRNA from 1 species